UUUUCAAGUUUUUCUCCCAAGCGAUAAUACGUAUAAUUUCAAUAACACAUACCUACCGAAUCAACAACACGCAUUGUUUUGAACAUUCUACCGAAAUGCCAAUAUAAGUGUUUCGUGAAAAACGCGCGUCUCUACGAACGGCUUUCAACCGAAUAACAACAAAAAUCCCAAAUGCGGUACACUUGGCCAUAAUAUUCCCCGUGUUUUUUCCCG